rnacentral:rRNA from 1 species
CGUAGGGUGCAAGCGUUAAUCGGAAUUACUGGGCGUAAAGCGUGCGCAGGCGGUUGUGCAAGACAGAUGUGAAAUCCCCGGGCUUAACCUGGGAAUUGCAUUUGUGACUGCACGGCUAGAGUGUGUCAGAGGGGGGUAGAAUUCCACGUGUAGCAGUGAAAUGCGUAGAUAUGUGGAGGAAUACCGAUGGCGAAGGCAGCCCCCUGGGAUAACACUGACGCUCAUGCACGAAAGCGUGGGGAGCAAACAGGAUUAGAUACCCUGGUAGUCCACGCCCUAAACGAUGUCUACUAGUUGUCGGGUCUUAAUUGACUUGGUAACGCAGCUAACGCGUGAAGUAGACCGCCUGGGGAGUACGGUCGCAAGAUUA